rnacentral:lncRNA from 1 species
AGAGCAGGCUACGGUGUGAAUAAGUGGAGACAGUCAGUUGCGUGAGCCAAUCAGAUCUCGAGUCUUUGACACCUAUGCCAGUUAAGAGUCCUCACGCUGCAACGGACAUGUAAGCAUCCUGUGAUUGGAUGAGAUCACGCGAGAGCUUGAAAGACGGCAAUGGCUAAACUAAACCAGAAAACUUAAAAAGAAAAACACAAAACCGGGAAACCUGUUAGCUACUAACACUUAUGGCUUUAUUUGUAAACCACGAGGUCUGAACCAGGAGGCGCUGUGUUUAAGACGGAGCCUUCGUGGAGACCUGGUUCUUUCAAGAAGAGCCUCUCAAUGACAGUUUCUCUGCAUACCAUUAACAACAAGGUGAAUCAAUUCCAAGGAAGAUACCCUUCACCAUUUACUAAAAUCUCUGGGACAUGUUUGGAGUUCAGCGGCUGACAUCUGAAAGCGCAGUACAUGGUUCCCUGCGAUAGACUGAGAGCCCAGCACGUGUCUCUGCUGUCUGUGCUCUGUCCAUGGACAUCCAGGAUGGAUGGAUGGAUGGAUGGAUGGAUGGAUGGAUGGAUGGAUGGAUGGAUGGAUGGAUGGGGUCACUCAUCCCGUGUAUACUGACCCCACAGUGCUGUGGAAUUCAGGACACCAGAGUCAUUGGCCGUUUUCUGCUGAGGGCCGAUAACACCACGGUUUCACACUACGCCCACUCACAGCAAUCCAUUUCCCUCAAUUUCAGGUCUUGAGGCUUGCCACUGUGGACCACGAGAUCAAUAUUUGCCAAGUUUAAACCACAGGAUUAUCUGUCUGUCAGGGUUCCCAACAGAAGCUCUCAGCUGUGACAUAAAUCUUGGACUGUCCUCCGCUGUUUGAGAAGGUCACACCCCAAAACUGCCUUUGUUGUGUUGUAAACCUAACGUACGGAUCAACUAGUCCAUGAAGCGGAUCACUGUGCAGAUGUGCACAGUACAAUGCUGCGGGAAUUUUCCAUUUGUUUUUGAUUUAGUUCUUUGCAUGUGGAAACAUCCUUUCAUAUAAACAUCUUUGACAACUUUCAGUGCAUCUAAUAGGGGUAAAGGUUGAUCUAAUAUGCCUAUUUGAACCUGCUUGGUUAAUUAUUAACGUACAUUUCUUUCUCUGAUGAGCAGUGUACUUGUGAUCAGUACAACACAAACAGCACAUGAAUUAUUGGCCAUGCACACAUGGAUUGGUGAGCAGCCCUCCAGCGAUCUAUCUAGAAUUAGACCUGUCAUGUCAUGUGUCCUUGCUCCGCAGUGAAGGUCACCUGCGAACUUAACAUUAAUCUCUCAAAGUGCAGUGAUGGCUCCACUUUGCCCUUGGAGAGGCGUGUGGCACAUUUGGGUUGAUUACUGGAGAUCUUGGCUCAGCUUGUGUGCUGUGUUGUUGACAUGAACAGCUUGCUUUUCCAGAACGCUUUAAUUCACAUGGUCAGGUAAAGAUUUUGCCCUUGAGACUCGUCGAUUGUCCUUUUUAUUGGAUGGGAUGGUGCAUGACAGGAUUGUGUAUAUACUGAGUUUGCUAUUGCUGAUUUCCUAUUAUAUCCUACAUCAAUCUGUAUAUGAGUAAAUUGAAUUUUUAUUAAUCAUUUGAUACAAUGCUGUGUAGUACUGGUGACUGUGUUUGUGAAGGUCAAAGGCUAACAAUAAUCUCUCAACAUGUCUGAGUGUAUUAGAUGCAAACAACAACAUGUAACGGCACUGGUGUCAUCCUUUAAAUCCUCAUUUCAUCAAAAACACAGGUGCAACAUUUACGUCACAGCUGUUUAGUCACGCAAACUCCAAGGAUGCCACCGAUUGAUAAACGACCAUUUUGUCCAAACACGACUUCCUAGUGGUUCCUAACUUAAAUUGAA